rnacentral:misc_RNA from 1 species
GAAACGCGAAAUGUAAUGUGAAUUGCAGAAUCACCGUGAAUCAUCGAAUUCUUGAACGCACCUUGCGCCCAUUGGUAUUCCGAUGGGCAUGCCUGUUUGAGUGUCGCGUACCUCUCAACCCCCUAUGGCAACGUAGCGCGGGCUUGGACCGUGGCCGCAUCAGGUCGGCGCAACUGAGCGUCUGACCCGGCCGAAACAUAUGCGAAGCGCCUUAGAACUGUGCGCCGCGACGACUUAGCGUUGUAGUUACCUCGCUAAAAGUCCGAGUCGGUAUGACAGUGGCUUCAAACCAUAUCUUAACGACCUCAAAUCAGGCAGGACUACCCGCUGAACUUAA